GUGGGGCCACGGCCCCGCCGAGAUAGAACCCUUGCCCUUUUGAGUACUACAUGUUUCCUCGGCAGGCCCGCCUGCCAACGGGGACCCAAACACAAACCUUUGAACCACCCGUCACAGUCUGAGAAAACAAGCAAAUAAUCAAAACUUUCAACAACGGAUCUCUUGGUUCU
rnacentral:misc_RNA from 1 species